CAUGAACCAUUUAAGAACCGGGUUGAUUUUGGCUUUUGUGAUAUUAACAAACAUACACUCAGGUAGUGGUACCAAAGCAAAUGAAAAAAUGCAAACGACAAUUGGUGGUGCCAGUAGAGGAGGCAAAUCAUCAAGUCAGGCAAAGCAACAAUUAGAAGGCGAUUAUAAUAUCGAUGAUAAACAACGUCAAGUUAGAGAGGACAUGGCAGCCAGUGGUAACAACCCAAAAGGAGAAAUGAAAGCGACGAGUGGUGAUGCCAGUAGUGGAGCCGAAUCAUCAAGUCAGGCAAAG